AUGGAGGUCAAAAAAGGACGCUAUAUGUCGCGGAUUGGAGGAGAUGGAUGGGCCCGUUUCCUCGCCCGCAUGCAUCUUACUGGUGAUGAUGAAGAUGACGAAGAUGAUGAAGAUAAUGAGGAUCCACUCGAUGAAGAUGAUGAGGACCCACUUCAUGAAGCCAUCGUAGCUCAAAGAAUGAGAUUGAGAAAGGAGGAGGUGUGCAACCUAUGGGACAUAAUUUCGCCACAUGCUGACUUUAUCGGGGUGCCAUUUGUGACCCUCCUGACAAGUACCAUGGUCGAUCGACAUGAUAUGAAAUUAGCAAAGAGCCUAUCUGUGAGUUAUGGUAUUGGGCCUGAUGAAGAAGGCUCAGUUGGAGUACGCCUUACCGCAAGGGGCUCCGUCACAACCUGUACUUACCGCGUGGAUACGGACGAUCACACACACUUAAACUCAGUUGGGAGGAAGAGAUUCCUCAAUGGCAAGAAUCUUUGUGUUGGACAGGCCAUCCUAAUUACUAUCAGGAACACCCACCGCCUAGGCCUAAGGAUGAUGAUCGUCUUCGAUAUCAUCUAG
rnacentral:rRNA from 1 species